UUUGUCCUCGGGACGCAGCAGUGAGGAAUAUUGGUCAACGGGCGCGAGCCUGAACCAGCCAAGUCGCGUGAGGGAUGACGAUCCUACGGAUUGUAAACCUCUUUUGCCGGGGAGCAAGCGUGCGUUCGUUAACGCGCGUCGAGAGUACCCGGAGAAAAAGCAUCGGCUAACUCCGUGCCAGCAGCCGCGGUAAUACGGAGGAUGCGAGCGUUAUCCGGAUUUAUUGGGUUUAAAGGGUGCGUAGGCGGGAUGCCAAGUCAGCGGUAAAAAUGCGGUGCUCAACGCCGUCGAGCCGUUGAAACUGG
rnacentral:rRNA from 1 species